GGUUGACCUCGGAUCAGGUAGGGAUCCCCGCUGAACUUAAGCAUAUCAAUAAGCGGGAGAAAAAAAAAAAGGGAA
rnacentral:rRNA from 1 species